rnacentral:lncRNA from 1 species
AGGCCCUGUGCUGUUCCCAGCAGGACAGGAAAAACCACUUAACUCGUCCCAAAGCUUUGGUGUUUGAGCAGCCAAACCCAACGGGCUCUGGUCCCCCUGGCCCCUGGUCCUGCCUGAGGCGUGGAGUGAGUCCCC